rnacentral:rRNA from 1 species
CGGAGGGUGCGAGCGUUAUCCGGAAUUACUGGGUUUAAAGGGUGCGUAGGCGGCCAAGUAAGUCAGGAGUGAAAGUUUGCGGCUCAACCGUAAAAUUGCUUUUGAUACUGCUAGGCUAGAAUUAGGAUGAGGUCAGCGGAAUGUGGCAUGUAGCGGUGAAAUGCAUAGAUAUGCCAUAGAACACCAAUUGCGAAGGCAGCUGGCUAGACCUGGAUUGACGCUGAGGCACGAAAGCGUGGGGAUCGAACAGGAUUAGAUACCCUGGUAGUCCACGCCCUAAACGAUGCUCACUCGACGUAUGCCACCAGAUGGUGUGCGUCCAAGGGAAACCGUUAAGUGAGCCACCUGGGGAGUACGACCGCAAGGUU